UCAGACUCGACUAAUUCCACUCAUAAAAUGCUCUCCUGUGAAGAUUGGAGCUUUGGGGCCGAAUCUGGCGUGGAGCGGGCCGCCGUCCCGAGAGGCUGGGCGGAGGGAUCAGCGCGCUCGUUGAGCGCUGCGUCCGCGGACUUGCCGGGGGCUCUACUUGAGGGGAGGGAGAAUGGGGAGCGGGCGGCGUGAAAACCCGGCGUGGAGUCGCCCAGACGUCCGGAUUGGGCUGUCUCCACCGCCCGGCCUCGAAGCCCCCUCCCCACGGCCCGGCCCCGCCGUUCGCGAGACCCGCCCUAGGCGGACCGGGGUCCGGCCUAGCGCCUCACGCCGAGUCGGGGUCCCGCUCCCCCAGCGCACACCCCGCCCUGCUCCUCCCCCCCGCGAAUAAAGAGGGGUGUUUAUUGUGAGUCACAUUUAGAUAACGGUAGUGUUUCUGCUGCCCUGAAUUUCCCCCUCAUCCUCAGCCCGUCGCGAGGCCUCUCUGGGAGUCCAGCCCCCAAACUUGUGGCGGCCGCGCCCAUCCCCCACCGGGCGGGCACCAGGACAAGACGAAUGACUCGACAAAUCCCAGGGCCGCGGCCUCAAGCCCGCCUCAGACGGGUCGUCAGGAGCCUCAGGAAUUCCUCAGAACACAGGAGUGAAAACUAAGUUUUCAAGGGAGAAAUGCCUAUGGCAGGUCUACAUUGAAUUUUGAAAAGAAAAGCAGAAAUUCCACACAGCUGUGUAAAACUCUUUGCGCUGGACUUGAAAGCUCACAGAACUUUCCAGAUUGCUCUUCAGCCUUCCUGUCCUGACUUGACGAUGGAGGGACAAGAAAACUCCCCUGCCUGACAUGGAGGAGGAACUGAUGAUGGAAGCUUAACAUCUACUCAAGAAUGAGGAAGAAGAAAGAAGUUUUCAGAGGAACAAAAAGCUGAGGUUCUUUCUCAGGUGACCAGACCUGGCUUCAAACCACACCCUGUUUGCUUUUGGCUGUUCCUGCAAGCCUUGUGAUUCCUGUUGUUUAAAGGCUGAGUCACGAGCUUUGUGACGUAGUUUUUUUCAUGGUCCAAAAGGGAGAAAUAACCUUCACGGAAGUUCCUUACAAAGAGAAGCUGUCACCAGUACUCCACUCCCUAACUGGACCCGUCCAUCAUAGCUCUGCAGCUGAAAUUCCAGCUGAUACCGGAACCAAGGAGCAAAGGGAGACAGACCUAUUCUUGAAUGCUGCUUCUCACAGACAGAAAAGAAGGAACAGAAAAUAAAAGUUUCUUUCCAAUAAAUAAGGACAUUGUCCCCAUUGCACCUCCACCCAGAAAUCUCCGGUUUCCUGGUCUUUAAAACCAUGCCAGCCUUUGGUGACUGUGAGGUUUGCAGACCGUUUAUUUUUCUUUUUCUUUUUCUCCAGCAAGAACUCUGAAUAUUGGGACUUCCCUGGUGGCGCAGUGGUUAAGAAUCCGCCUGCCAAUGCAGGGAACACGGAUUCGAGCCCUGGUCUGGGAAGAUCCCACAUGUCGCCGAGCAGCUAAGCCCGUGCGCCACAACUACUGAGCCUGCGCUCUAGAGACCGCGAGACACAACUACUGAGCCCGCAUGCCGCAACUACUGAAGCCUGCGCGCCUGGAGCCCGUGCUCCACCACAAGAGAAGCCACCGCAAUGAGAAGCCCGCGCAUCGCAACGAAGACCCAACGCAGACAAAAAAAAAAAGAGCUCUGAAUGUUAACAUGAACCCUCAGUGGAAAAGAAUCUGAAAAAGAAUAUAUACAUAUAUACGCUUGAAACUAACACAACACUUCAAUUAAAAAAAGAUAUGUUCAAAAAAAAAACCGAGCAAACUAAAGAAAACCAGAUCCACCCCCACUAAAACGCUGAGGAAGGAAGGAAUCUCUUUGUGAUAGGUCACCGAAAAGAGUCAUUCCUUAGCUGUCAAUUAGCACCUCUUUU